GAUCAAGAAAGGAUUCAAAAAUCUUGAAAAUAAAAGAAAAACACUUGUCUUCAAUUAUGAAUUCCAAAGUAAACUGAUAGAGAGAAACAAAACUUGCUCUGCCACUGCUGAAGAAGAACAACAGAAGCUUCAUUAUGAGUUCCGUAAAGAUUGCGACCGAUUGGAGGGGGGGUAUGCUAAGUGGUUACCCAUUGUGGAAAGAUUGAACAAAAGAGCUAAAAGAAAUUAGUGUUGGUCAUAGAAAUGUUUUAUGAGAUUGCAUAUUACAUGCUUCUUUCUUUAUUAUGAAGGGACAAAGAUUUGGUAUUAUUAAAAAAAUUGUAUUGUUCUCUUUAGAAAUUCUGGUUAUUAGUGAAAUAAAUCUUAGAUUGUGA